rnacentral:rRNA from 1 species
ACGUAGGUACCGAGCGUUAUCCGGAUUCACUGGGCGUAAAGCGCGUGCAGGUGGUUUGAUAAGUCGGGCAUGAAAACUCUUGGCUCAACUGAGAGACGCUGUCCGAUACUGUUGGACUUGAGGGUGUAAGAGGGAGGUGGAAUUCCGCAUGUAGUGGUGAAAUGCGUAGAUAUGCGGAGGAACACCAGUGGCGAAGGCGGCCUCCUGGUACACUCCUGACACUCAGACGCGAAAGCUAGGGGAGCGAACGGGAUUAGAAACCCCGGUAGUCCUAGCCGUAAACGAUGAUUACUAGGUGUUAGUGGUAUCAAGCCCACUAGUGCCGAAGCUAACGCGAUAAGUAAUCCGCCUGGGGACUACGAUCGCAAGAUUA